CACUUCUAAAGGAUAAGUUGUGAAUGUAAAAAAAAUACCAAAAAAGCUGGAGUGGUGUCUCCGAAUGCCACAGACCGAUUGAAAGAAGUCAAUGGCAGUGGUUUUGUGGACAAGAGAUGGUUUCUCACAGAAUAAAUGAUCAAAUCUAUCAGUGCUGUGAAAUGAAGGGGAAUAACAGAGAUACUAAACAGAGAAGGGAAAGAGAGAAGAGAUGGAAAGAUUCAGUGACACCAUUUGGGCAGCAGAACUACUCAAGAUGCCCUGGAAUGUUCUGGAAGUCUGGCCUCUCUGCUGUCACACACCCAUCUGUGAAUGAUGUUCUCCUCUACAGUAGGAUGACUGAAGGGGGCAGAAAAAGGGAAGGCCGUUGACUGAACGGUAAUAGAGGCUGCAUUUUUAACGUUUGCUGCAAGUGGCUCUACUUCGAAGACUAUAUGGUUAUACAAUCAUCAGAAACAUUCCUAACAGAUUUACGGAGCUGUAGACAAAUUUUUAAAAUAAAUUUUAUUUAAAUUAUUAAUAAUUGCUGUAA
rnacentral:lncRNA from 1 species